GCGCGAAACCUUUACAAUGCACGAAAGUGUGAUAGGGGGAUACUCAGUGCUUACGGCUCUGCUGUAGGCUUUUGUCGAUCGUAAAUAGAUCGGCGAAUAAGUGGUGGGUAAGACCGGUGCCAGCCGCCGCGGUAACCCCGGCGCCACAAGUGGUUAUCACGAUUAUUGGGCCUAAAGCGUUCGUAGCCGGUCUGGUAAAUCUCUUGUGAAAUUGUUCGGCUUAACCGGACAGCGUGCAGGAGACACUGCCAGACUCGAGACCGGGAGGCGCAAGAAGUAUUCCAUGGGGACUGGUAAAAUGGGAUAAUCCAUGGAAGACUACCGAUGGCGAAGGCGGCUCACUGGGCGGUUACUGACACUGAGGGACGAAGGCAAGGGGAGCAAACAGGAUUAGAUACCCCAGUAGUCCCUGAGCGGGCUGGCAAGGCGCAU
rnacentral:rRNA from 1 species